rnacentral:rRNA from 1 species
UACGGGGGGGGCAAGCGUUGUUCGGAAUUACUGGGCGUAAAGGGCGCGUAGGCGGUUCGCUAAGUUGAAUGUGAAAACUCUGGGCUUAACCCAGAGCCUGCAUCCAAAACUGGCGAACUGGAGUACUGGAGGGGAAAGCGGAAUUCCUGGUGUAGCGGUGAAAUGCGUAGAUAUCUGGAGGAACACCGGUGGCGAAGGCGGCAUCCUGGACCAACACUGACGCUGAGGAGCGAAAGCCAGGGGAGCAAACGGG